rnacentral:lncRNA from 1 species
CAUAUACUACCACCGCUACCAUAUACCACCACCAUAUAUCCACCACCAAUCCGAGUUCCUUGCAUAUUAGGUUUGUUUUCGGGAUCCAUCUAAUUUCCGAUUCGUGUUUCCUUGUCUGAGUAGGUUUCGGAUUCCAGCAAUCUUUUGCCGUCCGUAGAAGAGGUUGGUUUCCAAAAAAAAAGAGUCCGGAAACCACCCUCCGUUUAGGCCCAAAAUUUUCCAAAAACGCACGGGACAAAAAAAUUUCUGGCUAUCCUAUUUUUAGGUGCUUCUAAGCGUAUUGAGCCAGUCGCCGUUAUAGAAAGUUUUUUUGACCCGUUUCCAGUUUUUGGGUCCAGGCAGUCGAAAAAAAAAAUUUGGUCAAAAAAAUUUUGAGCCCAUCCUGUCAGUUUGACCUGGGAAGAGUUUUGAGACACUCGCCAUUAUAGU